UUUGAACGCUGGCGGCAUGCCUUACACAUGCAAGUCGAACGGCAGCAUAGGAGCUUGCUCCUGAUGGCGAGUGGCGAACGGGUGAGUAAUAUAUCGGAACGUGCCCUAGAGUGGGGGAUAACUAGUCGAAAGACUAGCUAAUACCGCAUACGAUCUACGGAUGAAAGUGGGGGAUCGCAAGACCUCAUGCUCCUGGAGCGGCCGAUAUCUGAUUAGCUAGUUGGUGGGGUAAAAGCCUACCAAGGCGACGAUCAGUAGCUGGUCUGAGAGGACGACCAGCCACACUGGGACUGAGACACGGCCCAGACUCCUACGGGAGGCAGCAGUGGGGAAUUUUGGACAAUGGGGGCAACCCUGAUCCAGCAAUGCCGCGUGAGUGAAGAAGGCCUUCGGGUUGUAAAGCUCUUUUGUCAGGGAAGAAACGGUNGUAGCUAAUAUCUACUACUAAUGACGGUACCUGAAGAAUAAGCACCGGCUAACUACGUGCCAGCAGCCGCGGUAAUACGUAGGGUGCAAGCGUUAAUCGGAAUUACUGGGCGUAAACGUGCGCAGGCGGUUGUGUAAGUCAGAUGUGAAUCCCCGGGCUCAACCUGGGGAAUU
rnacentral:rRNA from 1 species